AUGCAAAACAUGGAAUUGAACGGCAAGGAGCUCAUUUCCCGGUUCAAGAAGUCGAAUCGUUUGGACCGUAAAUACAUGAUUAUGUUCCCAGUUUUAGAGAACAUUGACAAGACAAAGCCUAAAACAGGCAAUCAUUACUGGAUUUUUAACGUGAACAUAAGGGAUCGACGUUUUGAAGCUCUUGAUUCUUGGAGGACGCUAAAAAACAAGGCUCUAGAUGUUUGCGCAAGGAAAAUGGUUGCAAGUUUUCGGUCUCUAUGGGAAGAGCAUUACGUCAGUUCCCACGUCUCGCUGGAUGACUUUGGGCUUACCAAUACCGACGUUCCAAAACAAAAAACUGAGUAA
rnacentral:rRNA from 1 species